GUCCAUUUUCGGGAAAGGGGGAGGAGUCUAACCGAAGAUGUUACCUUUAUAAAGAACGUCUUUGCUGAGUGAAAAUAAAUUAGAGCGAAGCUGCCAAGCAACAAUAAAGUACCCUGAAGCCAGAUUGAGUGUUUGAGAGCUGCCUUGAUUAUGAAGGGGAAAAGUGUAAUGACUGUUUUCCUGUUUGCACUUGUUGCAAAAUACUCCUUGUCCCAUCCUAUCAAUUUAACAGUGAUGUUGAAUGACCCAGUUACACUCUGCUCUGGAUCAUGCCAUGGUGGUGUCAUCGAGUUGAGGCGUUAUCAGGAAUCUCAAUCAGGGUCCAUCAUCACGAAGAUGGUUGCUAAACUUGACGGAGAUAAUUUAACCACAGGUGAAGGAUUUUUUAAGAAGAGGUUUGAAAACAGGGAUGGAAAAUUCUCUCUAACCAUCUCCUCAGCUGAGUACAAUGACAUGGGGUUGUACGAGUGUGUCUGUGGCGAGUACAACCAGCAUGUAAAUCUACAAGUUUUGGUCCCCAAAGAAAAAUCUGCCCAUGUUGGAGAAAAAGACACACUUGUCUGCCAUGGCUUAACUAAUAAAAUGACUAAGGACAGUGAGAUAUAUGUCCAGUGGAUGAAAGAUGGACAGAAUGUGUCUACCAUCAGUGCACGGAAUAUAACCUAUGGCUCUGGGUAUAAGGACAGGGUAUCUGUGUCCAUGGAUGGUUACCGAAAGGGAGACAUUCUCCUCAACCUCACCGACUUACGCCUUUCUGAUCAGGGGACAUACUGGUGCUUCUUCGGUCCUGACCACCAGAGAGGAAAUCCAGGAGCUGUCAUUCUCCUCAACCUCACCGACUUACGCCUUUCUGAUCAGGGGACAUACUGGUGCUUCUUUGGCCCUGACCACCAGAGAGGAAAUCCAGGAGCUGUCAUUCUUACCAUCACACCAAAAGGAAAGCACGACGACAACACAGGAAUGCCAACAUGGGUGAAGGUGGUGGUGGUGGUGGUGGUGGUGGUGUUGGUGGUUGUUUUGGUGAUCAUCCUAGUUGCUAUUUUCUGUUUUCUUGGAGGUAGAUUGAAAGAGACAAUGGCUGCUUGGUUUAAAGGGAAUUGUUUGAGAUCUCAAUUCUGUUCCCGUCCAUAAGGGGAACAGGGUGGGGAGCAUCUCACUGUUACCAUAAGUGAAAGUGAAUCAGAGACAGAAGACAGGACUGGGACAAGGACAUGUUUUGUCCCCUAUGCACCUGCCUGUAUCAUCAGAGCCCUGUAAGGACCUCCCUCUACCACCGGCCUUGUUACCAAGACUACUGAUUGACCUCCCUCUACCCCAGGCCUUGUUACCAAGACUACUGAUUGACCUCCCUAUAAUAUCUAUUUCAUGAUUGUUUACUGUCUCCAGUUUGUUUAAUAAAAUGUUAAACUUGAACUUUUGGGAGUUGAAUGUAUUUAGUACAUGAUCAAUUCAUUUUACACAUUAUGGAUAUACCUCAAAUGUUAUUCUACAAGAUCCAGACACAAAACAACUGAAUCAAUCGUUAAACUACAUGGUUUACAAUACGUGAUGAUGGAUACUGUACCUCUGUUUGCUAUGUAGGUCUACUAUGAUGGAUGCUAUGAUUGACAAAGCAAAAGAACAUAACAUCAUAUUAGAAAUUAUCUUUGUAGAAUGUGGUUUCUAUAUUUUACAGCUAUUGUAGCCUAACUAUUUAUAACAAUGCUUUAAAUGCAGCUAAAAUAUAAUUCACUGUUGUAAAACCGAUGGUGUCUCAUAUCGUCUCUCUUUCUACUACCUUACUAUUUGUAUUGUAUUGCCAAAAACAUGAUUUUAGACCAUGGUCAUGGAAAAAUGUUUUAAAAGAUGGUUGACAGUUGUAACACAAAUGGUGUCUCCAAUCAUCUCUCCUUCAGUUCUGUACAGUACUAAUUAGAGUGUGGAAAUGGCUUUAAACACAAUUUUAGGCCAUGUUCAUGGACAACUUUUUAAAAAGAUUGUUGAGUUCCUUCAGUUCUGUACAGUACUAAUUAGAGUGUGGAAAUGGCUUUAAACACAAUUUUAGGCCAUGUUCAUGGACAACUGUUUCAACAUUUAUUUCACAUGUGUAACACACAAAUACCAACUGUCCUUCUAGAUCUGUAAUAGUUGCAUUGUGGACAUUUCCUAAAACAUGAUUUUAGACCAAGCUCAAAGAACACUGUUUAAAAAUAUAUUUCACACUUGUAACACACAAAUGGUACAAACUGUCUGUUGUAUUUCAGUUUGUAUCCACACAACAGUUCUAUCCUGAUUAGUGUUAGAGAAGUUCUCAACUGUAUUUUAAAUUAAACAAACAAGAGUUAUUAAAGUGUGAAAACGGUAAGAACUGGGGAAAACAGUCCCAGACUAAGGCCCUGAUCCAAGCUGAGGCCCUGGGCCCUAAAUCGGGGUUGUCAAACUCAUUCCAUGGAGGACUGAGUGUAUGCUGGUUUUACAAUUUGUGUCCAAUUUAAGACCUAGACAACCAGUGAGGGGAGUUGAACUAAUCAAUGACCUUAAUUGAUCAAUCAGGUAUAAGAGAGGGGUGAAAACCUGCAGACACUCUGCCCUCCAUGGAAUGAGUUUGACACAUGUGCCCUAUAUUCUCAGAUGUCAGGGAUGUAAACAGUGAUGUAUAACCCCUGGCUCAUCAGGCCAUGCAGAUGGAGAUGGCAGCCUAUAUGUCUCUCUUGUCAUUCAUUAUAUGUUGCCCUAGAAGACUGCUGUUAUGAAGACAUCACACCUACAGAUGUUAUCCAAUGAGCAUUGCAUUCUCUCAAGAUGCAGACAUAAAAAUAUAUAUUUCUCCACUCCUGUUCCCAAGUCCACAUUUUGCCAACAUUUAGUGUAUAAUUUUACUGUAAUAACUGUUUCAUUCUGCAGGAGUUAUUAUUAAGGCUAUAGUCUAUUUACACUGGACUAGUAUUACUAGAAGACGUUGGUUAUGUAUUUAUUACCCCAGAAUGUCUGUUAUUCCAGAGGACCUUUCAGAACAGUGGUUUAACUGCCUUGUUCAGAAAGACAGAUUUUUAUCUUGUCCGGUCAGGGAUUCAAUUUCGCAACCUUUCGGUUCUAGUCUGACACUGUAACCACUACGCUACCCUGCCGCCCCUAUUGGAUUAGUAAGCAAACAUAUUUUUGUGAUCCUCCAGAAAUGUAUUUUUCCCAGAAGUCCUGUUUCUAACAUGUGUUUGAAAGUUGUUAAAUGGAGUGCAUUAUAACAUACUUACUCUCCCCUCCCCUCCCUUCCCCACGAGUUGAUGAGUAUUCUUGACUUCACUCGUUGGUGACGCAUGCAUUAUAUUUUAAACUUUAGCGCCAUCUAGUGUAUAUAUUUUGACACCGUAUGGGCUGGAACAGGUACUCUUUUUCCACCAUGAAGGUACAUAGCCCUUUAAGAUAGGGAGCAUGGGGUGCAUUACAAAGGGACAUAGAGAGUUGGUUCUGACCACAAACUAGCAACUGUUAAUAUUCAGCAUCAAUAUAAAAUCAAAGAUUCACAGAAUAAAUAACUGCUUUAGCUAGUGAAGAUAUCAAAACUAUAAAAUAACACAUAACUCUGAAGUAACAAAAAAAAAAGUUACAUUUUACAGUUGAGAUUCUUCAAAGUAGCCACCCUUUGCCUAAAUGACAGCUUUGCACACUCUUGGCAUUUUCUCAACCAGCUUCAUGAUAAAUGCUUUUCCAACAGUCUUGAAGGAGUAGUGUGGUAAUUGUCCUGUUGAAAAACAAAAUGCCAGUCUGACUAAGCGCAAACCAGAUUGGAUGGCGUAUCACUGCAGCAUGAUAUGGUAGCAAUGCUGGUUAAGUGUGCCUUGAAUUCUAUAUAAAUCACUGACAGUGUCACGAGCAAAGAACCCACACAGCAUCACACCUCCUCCUCCAUGCUUCACGGUGGGAACCACACAUGCGGAAAUCAUCAGUUCACAUACUCUGCGUCUCACAAAGAGUUAAAAUAGUAGAAAACACAAAGUGUAAUUUCGAAACUAGUGCAUCAGCAAUUUUCCUCUUGUUAUAUGUCACUCACUGUCUUAUCACAGCCACUGCAUCAAAGGGAACUCCCCCUAACCAAACACAUUCAACUACACCUACAGAAUAAAUUCAACCACACCUAUAACCAACUUCAUGAUGAAUGCUUUUCCAACAGUCUCGAAAGGAGUUCCCACAUAUGCUGAGCACUUGUUGGCUGCUUUUCCUUCACUCUGCGGUCCAACUCAUCCCAAACCAUCUCAACUGGGUUGAGGUCGGGUGAUUGUGGAGGCCAUGUCAUCUGAUGCAGCACUCCAUCACUCUCCUUCUUGGUCAAAUAGUCCUUACACAGCCUGGAGGUGUGUUGGGUAAUUGUCCUGUUGAAAAACAAAUGAUAGUCCGACUAAGCGCAAACCAGAUUGGAUGGCGUAUCACUGCAGAAUGGUAUGGUAGCCAUGCUGGUUAAGUGUGCCUUGAAUUCUAAAUAAAUCACAGACAGUGUCACCAGCAAAAAAAAAACACACCAUCACACCUCCUCCUCCAUGCUUCACGGUGGGAACCACACAUAAGGAAAUCAUCAGUUCACAUACUCUGUGUCUCACAAAGACAUGGCGGUUGCAACCAAAAAUCUCAAUUUUGUACUCAUCAGACCAAAGGACAGAUUUCCACCAGUCUAAUGACAGUUGCUCGUGUUUCUUGGCCCUUGCACAUCUCUUCUUCAUAUUGGUGUCCUUUAUUACUGGUUUCUUUGCAGCAAUUUGACCAUGAAGGCCUGAUUCACGCAGUCUCCUCUGAACAGUUGAUGUUGAGAUGUGCCUGUUACUUGAACUCUGUGAAUAAUUUAUUUGGGCUGGUAACUCUAAUGAACUUGUCCUCUGCAGCAGAGGUAACUCUUGGUCUUCCUUUCCAGUGGCGGUCCUCAUGAGAGCCAGUUUCACCAUAGCGCCUGAUGGUUUUUGAGACUGCGCUUAAAGUAAUGAUGGACUGUCAUUUCUAUUUGCUUAUUUAAGCUGUUCUUGCCGUAAUAUGGACUUGGUCUUUUAACAAAUAGAGCUACCUUCUGUAUACCACCCUUACCUUGGAACGACAUUCCACAAAUGAACUUUUAACAAGGCACACCUGUUAAUUGAAAUGCAUUCCAGAUGACUACCUCAUGAAGCUGGUUGAGAGAAUGCCAAGCGUGUGCAAAGCUGUCAUCAAGGCAAAGGGUGGCUAGUUCGAAAAAUCUGAAAUAUAAAAUAGAACACUUUUUUGGUUACUAUAUGAUUCCUAAUGUGUUAUUUCAUAGUUUUGACGUCUUCACUGCUAUUCUACAAUGUAGAAAUAAUAAAAAUAAAGAAAAAUCCUUGAAUGAGUUGGUGUAGCCAAACUUUUGACGGUUACUAUACAUACACAUAUAUAUUAGGAGGGGCUUUAUUUUCGGCUGGCGUUAAGGUGGUGCUAGUGU
rnacentral:lncRNA from 13 species